CUAGGAAUAUUGCACAAUGGACGAAAGUCUGAUGCAGCGACACCGCGUGAAGGAUGAAGGUUUUCGGAUCGUAAACUUCUUUUGUCUGAUAUUAUGUCAGGCGAAUAAGUCUCUGCUAACUACGUGCCAGAAGCCUCGGUAAUACGUGGGAGACAAGCGUUAUCCGGAUUUAUUGGGCGUAAAGCGUUUCGUAGGCGGACAACCGCAUCUUGCUUCAAAGCCUCCGGCUCAACCGGAGAAAGGGGCAAGAGAUGAGUUGUCUUGAGAUAGGUCGGGGAUGUUGGAAUUCACGGUGGAGCAGUGAAAUGCGUUGAUAUCGUGAAGAACACCAAGGGCGAAGGCGAACAUCUAGGUUAUAUCUGACGCUGAGGAACGAAAGCUAGGGGAGCAAAUGGG
rnacentral:rRNA from 1 species